CAAGGGAAAGAGGCCGGAUGCAGAGAUGCCUUGAAGGAUCUGGUUUCAUCUUGCACAAGAUGGCUUUGAACCCCAUUGGUACAGAGUCUGAUCCUGAAGAUCUGACCCCCUGCCUUCUAGGAUUACAGGUCACUCUGUAGGUGGGAAAGCCAUAUCCUCGGUCACAUAACUUCAGAAACCUACAUACAAAGGAGGUACUAUUGGUUUGCCACUUGGUGAAGUUUUUUAAAAGCUUCAAGUUGAUCAUCUUUAGCCCAGGAUGUGAUGGUCUGUAGGAUUGAGUAUAUGUACUGCUGUGCAAUGGAAUUGUCGAACUUUCCGUGUUUUUCUUUUUGAAUGAGUUUAUCAUUCAGUAUGUCUUUUUGAAAUAAAAGUGUCUUGUUUUUCUUUUAAUUAUA